UUUAGCCAAUCAGUUUGUUCAGAAAUCGUCUUCAGUAAAUUAGAAGACAUCCGUAUAAUAAAUUCCAAAUUUCUUUUUUUUGGCAUAUAUUCUCGUUCUUGUUCAAUAAAAUUUUCAAUUGGAUCAAUAGAGCUGCUCAAACCUACAAGUUGGAAUUAUUCUGUAUCAAGUAAUCUCAAUAUAUUAUUACUACUUAGUCUUGUUUUUCAAGAGCAAUUUGUCUAUACCCAACAUUUUUUAUGGUAAAAAUCUGAAAUGCAAUACAAAGAUUGAGUUAAAAUUUGAUGUUCUGAGUGUUACAUCAUAAGCAGUUUUUGAAAUUUCAUGAGAAAUCUACAAAGUUAUUCAACCUGUGGUUCCGAAAUUUAAGAUAUCAAUCUGAGAGUUGGUUGAACUACUUUUUAAUCCAUAAUUCAAAAAUUAUUUGUGAUAACAGUUGCCUUAUAGCUCGUUGAUUUCAAGUGAGUACUACUGGAGAAUUGAACGUUAUUAUCCAAGUUUUUUUAAACACUGAAUUCUAUAGAUAACAUAUAUUAUUUAUGAUAACAGUUGCCUUAUAGCUCGUUGAUUUCAAGUGAGUACUACUGGAGAAUUGAACGUUAUCAUCCAAGUUUUAUUAAACACUGAAUUCUAAACUACAUAUAUGCUUUUCACUUAAAAUGCUUGGAAUCGUGAUCACUUGAAUUUAAUUUUGUGAACUUUUGAUUUAGAAAUAUGUCGGGUAAAUUCACUAAAGCAUUAGCGCGAUUCGUUCUAAGGCUUAGUAUUUUGAAUAACAAUGAAAGUAUACCUGUAAUCCAAUAUUUCAUUCCAUCAAUAAUUAUUGGUAUGGGCGUUUUCUUUCUUCUACGUUAUAUGCAAGCUUGGUUAAAAGAGGAUAAAGAUAAAGUGAAGUCGCAAACUGCAGCUGAUAAUCUUGUAGAAGAAACCAAAACGAAACCCAAAAAACGUGGCUUGAAGAGAUAUGUUAAAAAAGUUAACAAGAAAGACAUGGACGUGUUUAGCUCAAAAUAUGUUGACCGUAGUUAGUUUAUAUCACACACGUAGAUAAAAUGUGGAUUAGCACCAUUUUUUUGAAAAGCCAAACUCUAUUCGUAAGAAUGAUGUAAAGUAGUUAAAAAAUAAAAUAUAACAAAAAGGAACUACAUGGACCCAAUUGGUGUUAAAAAAGCUGGAUUUCUUGAAUAUUGUAGCAAGAAGCUAAGAUAAUAAGAAACUAAAAUGAUCCACCGAUACAAAAAUUAUAUGUAAGAAGUAAUAUUAUUUGAUGUGAUUAUAAAGUACAAAGUACAAUUCGAACAUUUACAUUUGUUUCAACAAAAUUCAAGUCAUAGAAUGUGUAUUACAACAGUUGUAACAAAAAAAAAACAAACAAUUAAAUAGUCACCAAACAAACAAAACCCAAA